rnacentral:rRNA from 1 species
UAGGGAAUCUUCGGCAAUGGACGAAAGUCUGACCGAGCAACGCCGCGUGAGUGAAGAAGGUUUUCGGAUCGUAAAACUCUGUUGUUAGAGAAGAACAAGGACGUUAGUAACUGAACGUCCCCUGACGGUAUCUAACCAGAAAGCCACGGCUAACUACGUGCCAGCAGCCGCGGUAAUACGUAGGUGGCAAGCGUUGUCCGGAUUUAUUGGGCGUAAAGCGAGCGCAGGCGGUUUCUUAAGUCUGAUGUGAAAGCCCCCGGCUCAACCGGGGAGGGUCAUUGGAAACUGGGAGACAUGAGUGCAGAAGAGGAGAGUGGAAUUCCAUGUGUAGCGGUGAAAUGCGUAGUUAUAUGGAGGAACACCAGUGGCGAAGGCGGCUCUCUGGUCUGUAGCUGACGCUGAGGCUCGAAAGCGUGGGGAGCAAACAGG